GCGGGCGUAGUGAAAUGGCAUCACGUCAGCUUCCCAAGCUGACAGCGCGGGUUCGAUUCCCGUCGCCCGCUCCA
rnacentral:tRNA from 4 species